CAGGAAGUUGCAUCAUUCACAUUCUCAGCAGGCCAUGGAAAUAAAAAGGAUAUUUUUCAAACAACACGGACAGAGACACUGAAAAGUUUUACUGCCGUGUUACCGGCACCGUUUGGAAACAGUUAAGCAACUAAUCAUUCUGAUCAGGACCUCCACGCUUCCAUGAGACAGCGAUGAGAGCCGACACAAAGAGCAUGUUAACAAGGACUCCCUCCCUCCUACCUUUCUGCCGCCUCUCUGCACCCCGUCUCCCGCUCCGGCUGACCUAUGGCUUUCCAGUGCGGACCGAAAAGCACAUUACAGACAAAUCUCCUUAAAGGCUUGUGCUCCUGUGUGAGUCUACGUGUGUCUUAUAAACCUGUUACCGCAACACACAUGAUUUUAACAAUCCUGUUGGACAUCAUUAAGCUUUUAAAAAUGCCGGACCCGGUACUGGGGGCAGCUGGUUUGCCUCUGCAUAGCUCUGGUGAUUGCGACUAACUGACACUAGUCAUUUUUUAGUCCCUCGUCUGACAAGCAUCCAGGAGCUAAUCGUAUAUGUCCAUACACAGUGUGGAGCCGUUAGCCUAAGCUAAUAUUAAUCACCACCAUUGUAGCAAAUAUACUCCAUUUCUCAGUACAGGGAUUCUGCAGGUAUCAGCCAAUCGAAUGUAAUGCUUUUUAAUGCUUUUUUAAUGCAACUUAAAACAAAUGUAAGGCUCCUGUCCAUUGCAGAUCAUUAUUAUAAAUAGUCAAAAGCAUACAAUAGUCCUUAUAAACAAAAAUUAGACAAUAAUAGUCUUGAAUAGAUGAAAAGUUUACAUUAACUCUGGCCGAAUUAAGCACUGAUGUAAUCAUAAUAUGCAAUAAUAACAAUGCAAGUAAGCCUUUCAAAUGCAAAAACAUAUUUUUAAUUACUGCAGUAUUUUGUACGAUUGUAAUUAAACAUCAAAAUAAAAUACACUCUCGAUAUUGGUUAGCAAAAAUUGCACUUCA